UGGCUCAGUGGUUAAGAGCACUGGAUGCUGUCCCAGAGGCCCUGGGUUUGAUUCCCAG
rnacentral:tRNA from 1 species